CCUCUUCCAAUCGCGGUCAACCGCGCCUAUAUACGGCGUGUCAGCGCAAGCUGACUAUGGUGAUAAACGGACGGUGUAAUAAACCCAUUGGACCCGGGGGCGGUACCCGGCGCCUCCACCAGAAUACAGAUCGGCUAAUGGUUUGUAUUGUGGCGGGGGCGAAACAGGAUCGACAAGGGUGUAAAGAUCGCUCUUUUACUCGGCAUGAUACCACCGUUAUCGGGUCAAUUGAGUAGUUGCAAAUGACAACAAAGCUCAGGGUUAUGCUCUCGCUGCCUAAUGGCGGUGCGGGAAACCCACUCUAAAGCCCCUUGGGGUUAGCACCUUAAGGCGGGGUUCGGAGGCACCUGGCAACAGAAGCCUCCACU
rnacentral:tmRNA from 1 species